rnacentral:piRNA from 1 species
UCAUUUGUUUUUUUAAUAUGA